rnacentral:rRNA from 1 species
CCCUGAUGCAGCCAUGCCGCGUGUGUGAAGAAGGCCUUCGGGUUGUAAAGCACUUUCAGUAGGGAGGAAGGUAGUGUAGUUAACACCUGCAUUAUUUGACGUUACCUACAGAAGAAGCACCGGCUAACUCCGUGCCAGCAGCCGCGGUAAUACGGAGGGUGCGAGCGUUAAUCGGAAUUACUGGGCGUAAAGCGCAUGCAGGCGGCCUGUUAAGUCAGAUGUGAAAGCCCCGGGGCUUAACCUCGGAAUUGCAUUUGAAACUGGCAGGCUAGAGUCUUGUAGAGGGGGUAGAAUUUCAGGUGUAGCGGUGAAAUGCGUAGAGAUCUGAAGGAAUACCAGUGGCGAAGGCGGCCCCCUGGACAAAGACUGACGCUCAGAUGCGAAAGCGUGGGGAGCAAACAGGAUUAGAUACCCUGGGAG